CACCUCGUCACUGAUGAUGAUCUUGUCUUAUAUAUUCUUGGAGGACUUGGACAAGAAUAUGAUGAUGUGGUUGUCUCGUUCAUUGCUAGAGAGGAUUUAAUUUCAUUGUUUGAUCUUCAUGGCUUUCUUUUAAGUCAUAAGU